rnacentral:lncRNA from 1 species
AAACAAUCUUAAUUUACGUCAGUGUAUUGCUUGGCAACAACAUAUGCCUCGUGCAAAAAUUAUAGACAAAAUUCUGUUUUCAUUUUCAAAUUUACCUAGUGUUGUUUUUAAUCCGAUUAUGUUUUGUUUAUUCCAUUUUUACUUUUUUUUUAGUUUUUAACCAUCUUUCUUCAUUUUCUUCGUUGGUUCUUAGAUCAAACAACAACGGCAAGUGCUACCGUGGUUUCCCAAAAAGAUUUAGGGAUGAAAAAUAGGCUGGCAAAUAGCUAAACGAACGGUGGUAGCGAGAGAUAAAGAAGGGUUGAAUCUCUGCAUCGUCGAUUCACUAAAUCUAGGCUAUUUUCGGUGAAACAAAAGACGGAAGGAAACUGGCGACGUCGGGAAGACUUGAUGGUAGGAGUUUUAGAGGCUAAGAUAGCCAAACGAGAAAUAAGAUAAGAUAGAGAAAUGACAACGAGAAAAGAGAAAAAUAAAGAGAGAGAGGUAUAUACAGGAAAUAAAAUGCAAUUUUCUGCGUAAAGUGAAAAUUAAUUUUAAAUACUUUACAAGUAUCUAAUGUAUACCAUAUUUUAGUAAACAUAUACCUUUUGUUAUUGAACGUUA